rnacentral:rRNA from 1 species
UACAGAGGGGGCAAGCGUUAUUCGGAAUUAUUGGGCGUAAAGGGCGCGUAGGCGGCAAUGCAAGUGACGGGUGAAAUCCCUCGGCUUAACCGAGGAACUGCCUGUCAGACGGCAUUGCUUGAGACCGGGAGAGGUGAGUGGAAUUCCCAGUGUAGCGGUGAAAUGCGUAGAUAUUGGGAGGAACACCAGUGGCGAAGGCGGCUCACUGGACCGGAACUGACGCUGAGGCGCGAAGGCGUGGGGAGCAAACAGG